UUGUAAGAGCUACAUCAUUUAAACAAACUAUUUAAUCGAUUUAGUUCCAUUCAAGAUCAAAGACAAUAAAAUAAAUAAUAAUUAAGAAUCAAUAUCGCUGGUUAAUCGGUUUAUUUAUAUGACAUCAUUUUUUUUAAACUAUUAACUAAGCCAGGUGCAUUUAGAAAUUUUCAAUUAACUUAAAAGAAAAUCCAUAUGUCAUUAAAACUAUUUAAAUCAUUUUAAUAUCCAUUUGUUGUAUUGCCGGAAUAAUUAGUUUUAAGGCCAACAUAUAUGUAACACAAAGAAGUCACUUGACAAACAGAUUUCUGCCCUUGCUAAGCAUUCAAUUACCAAUGCACAUACGUUUAAAUUUGAUGAAGCAAACAUUUUAAUACAAGAACGGAAUAAAACUAAGCUACAAAUACAAGAGGUUAACCAAAUAAUUAAAUUUGAACAUAUUGCAUGUAAUGAUAAGAGCGAUAAAAAAGAUUAUUCUAAUGUGUAUUAUAAUCUAAUUAAAACUGGUUUGAAACGUUAAUUGUAAAUUGGAUUGAAUAGUAAAUUAGUCGUACACCAGAGGUGCAAGUAUGUUUAAUGAGGCAAUUGACAGUUAGUUGUUGUUGUUGGUUUUUCACUGUAAUACACAUUCAGUGUUGAUUUUCAAUUGGAACCGCUCUAUUGGGUCCUGAUGAUGGGCUUGACCCGAAACAUGUAGACCAAAACGAAGAACAUUGAAUGAAUUUUAUUUAUCAAAACGGAAUUUUCUGAGGCAAUACAAAACAGUUUGUGUGAACGAUUUGUUGCACAAAUUUGUAUUUAAAUCAUAUUAUUUGUCCUUAACAGAUAUGCUCACACUCGCCCUUGGAUAACUUUUCUUUUGGAAAAAAGAUAAAGAAAAAUGAUGAAAAAUAAAUAAAAACUUUUUUCAAAACAA